rnacentral:rRNA from 1 species
UGGGGAAUCUUGGACAAUGGGCGCAAGCCUGAUCCAGCCAUGCCGCGUGAGUGAUGAAGGCCCUAGGGUUGUAAAACUCUUUCGUGGGGGACGAUAAUGACGGUACCCCAAGAAGAAGCUCCGGCUAACUUCGUGCCAGCAGCCGCGGUAAUACGAAGGGGGCUAGCGUUGUUCGGAUUUACUGGGCGUAAAGCGUGCGUAGAUGGCCGAUUAAGUCGGAUGUGAAAGCCCCGGGCUCAACCUGGGAACGGCAUCCGAUACUGGUGGGCUAGAGUGCGGUAGAGGAGAGCGGAAUUCCCGGUGUAGCGGUGAAAUGCGUAGAUAUCGGAAGGAACAUCAGUUGCGAAGGCGGCUCUCUGGACUCAAACUGACGCUGAGGCACGAAAGCCAGGGGAGCAAACGGGAUUAGAUACCCACGUAGUCCCUGAGCGGGCUGGCAAGGCGCAU